AUUGAACGCUGGCGGCAGGCCUAACACAUGCAAGUCGAGCGGAUGAAGGGAGCUUGCUCCUGGAUUCAGCGGCGGACGGGUGUGUCAUGCCUAGGAAUCUGCCUGGUAGGGGGGGAUAACGUCGGGAAACGGGCGCUAAUACCGCCUACGUCCUGCGGCCGAAAGUGGGGGAUCCUCGGACCUCACGCCAUCAGAUGAGCCUAGGUCGGCUUAGCCAGUUGGUGGGGUUACGGCCUCCCAAGGCGCCGAUCCGUAACUGGUCUGAGUGGAUGACCGCUCAGACUAGAUCUGAGACCCCGUCCAGUGUCCCACGGGAGGCCCCAGUCUGGAACCUUGGCCCAUGCGCGACUGCCUGAUCCAGGGAUGCCGCGUGAGUGAAGAACGCCCACGGAGUGUAGAGCACUUUAAGGUGGGAGGAAGGGCAGUAUCUUAAUACCGUGCUGUUUUGACGUUAGCAAGAGAAGAAUCACCGGCUAACUUCGUG
rnacentral:rRNA from 1 species